AACGAACGCUGGCGGCAGGCUUAACACAUGCAAGUCAAGCGCCCCGCAAGGGGAGCGGCAGACGGGUGAGUAACACGUGGGAACGUACCCUUUUCUACGGAAUAACGCAUGGAAACGUGUGCUAAUACCGUAUACGCCCUUUGGGGGAAAGAUUUAUCGGAGAAGGAUCGGCCCGCGUUGGAUUAGCUAGUUGGUGGGGUAAAGGCCUACCAAGGCGACGAUCCAUAGCUGGUCUGAGAGGAUGAUCAGCCACAUUGGGACUGAGACACGGCCCAAACUCCUACGGGAGGCAGCAGUGGGGAAUAUUGGACAAUGGGCGCAAGCCUGAUCCAGCCAUGCCGCGUGAGUGAUGAAGGCCUUAGGGUUGUAAAGCUCUUUCACCGGAGAAGAUAAUGACGGUAUCCGGAGAAGAAGCCCCGGCUAACUUCGUGCCAGCAGCCGCGGUAAAAC
rnacentral:rRNA from 1 species